UCCCAUGUGGCUCAGUUGGUAGAGCACGGUGUUUGCAAUGCCAGGGUUGUGGGUUCGAUUCUCACGGGGGAC
rfam:Salmo salar isolate Sally breed double haploid chromosome ssa11, whole genome shotgun sequence.